UCGUACUCCAGCAGAAGAUUGGGCAACCUAAAGCAAUGUCAAGAAUAGUCUGUGCAUGAGUGGUCAAUCCUUUCUGUACAUACAACAACCCCAAACCCCAGAGAGAUCCUGAGCAGGAUUUGCUUCUGCUUUAUAUAAAGACCCUGAUGAGAUCCCCGUGACGAGCCCACGGAUCUGACGUGAGUGUAGCUGCGAACGUGAGUCCGGUGCUGAGAAAGGUUUGGGGAAAAAUGGUCAUCUUUGUGGCUCAGGACAAAGAAUGUUCCGAGAAGAACAGCCCCUGUCUACAUCAGCUUCCUGUAGACCUGCCCUGAAAACACUAAGAGGCUGCAGUCACGCGGAGGUUUGUGCCGAGCUUCUGAGCUCCUCCUGUGCUCAGCCCUCAG